UACGUAGGGUGCGAGCGUUAAUCGGAAUUACUGGGCGUAAAGCGUGCGCAGGCGGCGCGUUAAGACAGGUGUGAAAAGCCCCCGAGCUUAAACUUGGGAAUUGCGCUUGUGACUGGCGUGCUGGAGUGUGGCAGAGGGAGGUGGAAUUCCACGUGUAGCAGUGAAAUGCGUAGAGAUGUGGAGGAACACCGAUGGCGAAGGCAGCCUCCUGGGCCAGCACUGACGCUCAUGCACGAAAGCGUGGGGAGCAAACAGG
rnacentral:rRNA from 1 species